UACGAAUGGAGCGAGCGUUGUUCGGAAUCACUGGGCGUAAAGCGUGCGCAGGCGGUCAUGAAAGUUAGAAGUGAAAUCCCAGGGCUUAACCUUGGAAUUGCUUUUAAAACUCCAUGACUGGAGUACUGGAGAGGUUGGCGGAAUUCCGAGUGUAGAGGUGAAAUUCGCAGAUAUUCGGAGGAACACCAAUGGCGUAGGCAGCCAACUGGACAGUAACUGACGCUCAUGCACGAAAGCGUGGGGAUCAAACAGGAUUAGAUACCCCUGUAGUCC
rnacentral:rRNA from 1 species